UUAUGUGAUGAUAAAAACGCUGUGCACCAGUCUGAUAGGAGCCUAACUUUUGUACUCAGGCUCCUCUGAAGCAUUAAGUAUACCCAAAUUUCUGAUC
rnacentral:snoRNA from 1 species